rnacentral:rRNA from 1 species
GUGAAAUUCCGUCGGAAUCUGGGAGGACCAUCUCCUAAGGCUAAAUACUCUCUAGUGACCGAUAGUGAACCAGUACCGUGAGGGAAAGGUGAAAAGCACCCCGGAAGGGGAGUGAAAUAGAACCUGAAACCGUGUGCUUACAAGUAGUCAGAGCCCGUUAAUGGGUGAUGGCGUGCCUUUUGUAGAAUGAACCGGCGAGUUACGAUUUGAUGCAAGGUUAAGCAGUAAAUGUGGAGCCGUAGCGAAAGCGAGUCUGAAUAGGGCGUUUAGUAUUUGGUCGUAGACCCGAAACCAGGUGAUCUACCCUUGGUCAGGUUGAAGUUCAGGUAACACUGAAUGGAGGACCGAACCGACUUACGUUGAAAAGUGAGCGGAUGAACUGAGGGUAGCGGAGAAAUUCCAAUCGAACCUGGAGAUAGCUGGUUCUCUCCGAAAUAGCUUUAGGGCUAGCCUCAAGUGAUGAUUAUUGGAGGUAGAGCACUGUUUGGAUGAGGGGCCCCUCUCGGGUUACCGAAUUCAGACAAACUCCGAAUGCCAAUUAAUUUAACUUGGGAGUCAGAACAUGGGUGAUAAGGUCC